rnacentral:rRNA from 1 species
GACGAACGCUGGCGGCGUGCUUAACACAUGCAAGUCGAACGGAAAGGCCCUGCUUUUGUGGGGUGCUCGAGUGGCGAACGGGUGAGUAACACGUGAGUAACCUGCCCUUGACUUUGGGAUAACUUCAGGAAACUGGGGCUAAUACCGGAUAGGAGCUCCUGCUGCAUGGUGGGGGUUGGAAAGUUUCGGCGGUUGGGGAUGGACUCGCGGCUUAUCAGCUUGUUGGUGGGGUAGUGGCUUACCAAGGCUUUGACGGGUAGCCGGCCUGAGAGGGUGACCGGCCACAUUGGGACUGAGAUACGGCCCAGACUCCUACGGGAGGCAGCAGUGGGGAAUAUUGCACAAUGGGCGGAAGCCUGAUGCAGCAACGCCGCGUGCGGGAUGACGGCCUUCGGGUUGUAAACCACUUUCUCCUGUGACGAAGCGUGAGUGACGGUAAUGUGUAAAGAAGCACCGGCUAACUACGUG